rnacentral:rRNA from 1 species
GACGAACGCUGGCGGCGUGCCUAAUACAUGCAAGUAGAACGCUGAAGCUUGGUGUUUGCACCGAGCGGAUGAGUUGCGAACGGGUGAGUAACGUGUAGGUAACCUGCCUGGUAGCGGGGGAUAACUAUUGGAAACGAUAGCUAAUACCGCAUAACAGUAGAUAUCGCAUGAUAGCUACUUGAAAGGUGCAAAUGCACCACUACCAGAUGGACCUGCGUUGUAUUAGCUAGUUGGUGAGGUAACGGCUCACCAAGGCAACGAUACAUAGCCGACCUGAGAGGGUAUUCGGCCCCACUGGGAGUGAGACACGGCCCAGACUCCUACGGGAGGCAGCAGUAGGGAAUCUUCGGAAAUGGACGGAAGUCUGACCGAGCAACGCCGGGUGGGUGAAGAAGGUUUUCGCAUCGUAAAGAUCUGUUGUCAGAGAAGAAAGAGUGUGAGAGUGGAAAGUUCACACUGUGACGGUAUCUUACCAGAAAGGGACGGCUAACUACGUG